rnacentral:snoRNA from 1 species
AAACCAUGGUGAGGACAAUCACGUUCGUAGACGGUGAAUCAUUCCCAUGCUUCAUGAAAUGAUUCAACAGGUCCUUGUUUGAAUCCUUGCAGCUUGUUUCUUAGAGGAU